AGGACCAGGAGGGGGUGGCGGAAUGGGCGGUCCCCUAGGUCGCAUGGGGGGCGGGGAGGGUAGCGAGGGGGUCCCCAAACCUCCAGUCGCUCUCUUUCGGGGUGUCCCCCUCAAUUCCAUGUCUCUGUGUGCUUCUUUUUGGGGCGUCCCCCCUUUUCUAUAUCUCUGCGUGUUCCUUUUCGGGGUGUCUCUCCCACUUCCAUAUCUCUGGGUGCUCCCAUUUGGGGCAUCCCCCCUCUUCCACGUCUCUGCGUGUUCCUUUUUGGGGUGUCUCUCCCACCUCCACAUCUCUGGGUGCUCUUUUUUGGGGUGUCUCUCCCACUUCCACAUUUCUGGGAGCUUUCUUUUGGGGUGUCCCCAACUCCCACAUCUCUGGGUGCUCCCAUUUGGGGCAUCCCCCCUCUUCCACGUCUCUGCGUGUUCCUUUUCGGGGUGUCUCUCCCACUUCCACAUCUCUGGGUGCUCCCUUUUGGGGCAUCCCCCCUCUUCCACGUGUCUGCGUGUUCCUUUUUGGGGUGUCUCUCCCACUUCCACAUCUCUGGGUGCUCCCUUUUGGGGCGUCCCCCCUCUUCCACGUCUCUGUGUUUCUUUUUGGGGUGUCUCUCCCACUUCCACAUCUCUGGGUGCUCCCUUUUGGGGCAUCCCACCACUUCCACAUCUCUGGGUGCUCCCUUUUGGGGCAUCCCACCACUUCCACAUCUCUGGGUGCUCCCUUUUGGGGUGUCCCCCACUUCCACAUCUCUGGGUGCUUUCUUUUGGGGUGUCCCCAACUCCCACAUCUCUGGGUGCUCCCUUUUGGGGCAUCCCACCACUUCCACAUCUCUGGGUGCUCCCUUUUGGGGUAUCCCCCACUUCCACAUCUCUGCCUGCCUCUUUGGGGUGUCCCCCCACUUCCAAUUCUCUGGGUGCUCCCUUUGGGUGUACCCCAACUCCCAAGUCUCUGAAUGUUCCCUUUUGGGGUGUCGCCUCACCUCCAUGUCUCUGGGUGCUCUCUUUUGGGCUGUCCAGGGUGUACCCCAACUCCCAAGUCUCUGGGCGCUCCCUGUGCGGUGUCCUCCCACUUCC
rnacentral:lncRNA from 1 species